GUAUAAAAAGAGAGAAUCCAAAGCAAAGCAGGAGUGCUGUGCAAACCAGCCUUCUGGUGAGGCUGUGUUGUUUCUAACUCAACAGCAAUCGUGCUGGGCUGCUUGGGUUAUCUGCCCAUACAGUUCCUACAGGGAAGUUGAAUCACCAUGAUGGCCUUGCUGGCGUAACAUCUUACAUUUCCCCAGGAUGUGGAGCCUGAAGAAUAGCUGGCUGUGAAGCUGUGUCCAGCUGCACCAGGCAAGACACCCCAUCUGAUUCUUUCUCGUGGUUCAAAGAGGGUAAAAUAAGUUGGAGAUUAGUCCAGCAAAGUCAUGGAAGCUGUGAAGAGGAAAUGUUGACAUUUCAGCAGAAACUUCAAAAUGCAGCUGCUUUGCUUCAGAGGAGCAGCCACAACACGACUCAGGUUUCCUCUGCAGUUCAGCUCAGCCUCCUGCCUGGAUUCAGUCAGAUGCUGUGUCCUGCUCCUCCUCACUGAACAGGCAGUGGUGGCUCUGCCCAAACAACCUGAAGGCACCCAGGCAAUGCUUUGUCCAGAGGGUCUGUGCCUCCUGCAGCCGUGGGGCAUCAUCCUGCACAGAAAUUCAGAGAAUGGUGCUCCUGGGUGGACUUGAGAGCCUGCUCCUGUCCCAGCAGACCAAGGUCAGGUCAAGAGCUUUUUGGCUGGGAGGACAUUCUGUUCAAGAAGGUACUCUGACACGUUGAUGCUGCAGCAUUUGAGGCUUUUACAGAGAAAACACAUUUAAAUGGCAGGUGAAAUACUGCAGGCUGAGUGGCAGCAGGGAUGCAAGAUCACCCAUCAAGGCAUGGCUGAAUUCUAAUUUAUUUCUUAAUUUUGCCUGAGCUGGGCUAUGUGGAGGUGAGGCUGCAGCUCCAAUUCCAGCUCUCACAGCUAACAAGGUGCUUUGUGGGCUCUCCCAGCAAUGGUGUGACAGGCCCAGUAUUGCCAGUUCAGGUAUUUACUCUGCCAUUCCCAAUUUAUUUCAUGUAUUCUCUGCAAUCUCCACAUUAUCUAAUGUUGUGAUGGUGAUUAAUCUAUUUCUGUUCCUGAAAGGAUGCAAAAGAGGGACAUUAGAGCCAGCACAGCUCUGUUAAAUACCUUGUCAGGACAUACCUGAACUCCAGUCUGGUUUUUAAACACAACUUGCUAAAAAAUCUCUUUAAGGGAGUACACAAUUAUUAGGGGUGAUGCUCGUGACAGUAACACACAUGUCAUUUUAGAUGUUCCCCUAAAUGACCUGGCUGAGUGGUGGUUUAUGACCUGAUUUGCACACCAAUAGUUUUGCCUGUACAAUAACCAGGCAGCCAGACUCAAAGUGUAAUUAAAAAUGAGGUCCAAGCUGUUACCAGUUUAAAUCACUGUAAAGACAUACCAACCUGGGAAUGAUAAACCAUCAGUGACACUAUCAGUAACUUACAGUAAAUUAACUUUUGCAGCUUGGCCUGGGCUGAGUGUCACAGAGCAGGAAUGUUUUAUCUGGCAGAGGCUGUGAUCACACCUCUGGAUGCUGUGUGAUAUGGAGGAUAGCCAGAAACUUUCUGCAAAACAAUUUCUCAUCAGAAAAUAUUAGUUUAUCUGGCCCACAACUUUUGGCAGGGAAUUUGAGCUCCAGCAAAGGUUAAGGCAUUCACCAGCCAUGUUUGUUAUCUAAACUUGAUUUUCUGAAGCAAAAGUGAGUGCUCAGAUUUCUGAGACCCAGGCUACACUGUCUGACUCUCUCUCAAUCCCCUAUUCUUCAAAAUUCAAUUUUGACACUUUUGAAGUUUUGAAUCUAUUUCUGGCCACCUCUGCCAGUGUAUCCCUGCUUGGUGUUUAAAUGGCAGGAGAGAUAGCAAAGAAGCCUUCCCUUCAAAUCCCAGUUCAGCUCAGCACUUCUGUAAAUUUGAGAAUUUCCAUAAAAACAUCAAGUCUCUCCUGCGGUUUCUAAAUUGGGCUUUAGGAGAUAAUGAUUUUAAAGAACCUGAGAGUGGAAUGGAGGGAUGUCUACAAGCCUACAUACAUCUCACAUCUACAUUCCUGCUUUUUUUUGCUAACAUUUUUCAACCCAAAAGUCCAAAGUACUUCAGAGAUGUUCAGGUAAGCCAGAUGUUUUGUUCACAUGCAGCAGCUGUGGAGUCCAGGAGAAAGCAGAACAUGAACCAUGUCUAAUUUUUAGCCAUUGAUAUGAGUCAAGUUGGGGUUCUGGUCUCAUUCUUCCAUCCAACAGAUCUUUCUUCCCUGAAGUUGUUCUGGUAGAUAGAGGAGAGGCCACAAGGCUGGGCUUCCUUUGGAGCUUGAAGAGCAGCAAGGCAAGGGUGCUUUGGCUGAGUGCAAGGGGGUUAUGCAGGAAAGAGUGAACUGCUGCAGCUGGGGACCUCACCAGCACAAACCAGUGAGCUGUUCCUUUUCCCAUCAUGUUGUUCCACUGUGGCAUCAUUACUCUGGGAGGCUGAGGUGGCCAAAUGGUGCUCAAAUGGUGCAAGAAACAAUUAGAUGAAUUAAUGGCAGAGAGAUGCAGCAAGGGCUGUUACACACCAGGAGACUGCAGAAAGUCUCUAAGCCCAGAUUACUGGGGCCCAUCAGAGCACCCCAGGCAACUGCUGUGAGUUUGUCCUGCUCCUGAGCUUCUCUGCAGACAUACACAACUGUUUGGUCUUAGGGACAGAGUGCUGGGCUAGAGGCACUGGUGCUCAGAGCCAGCCUGACCAUUCUGAUAAAGCAGAAGGAAAUGGCUUUAGACAACUCUUGAAGAUGUGACGUCUGUGGGAUCUCUUGGUGUCACCAGGAUCUGAUCCCAGCAGUUCAACAUAAUCACUGAAAGAGGAGAAAAUCGAGGAGUUUUCACUGGAAGUGAGCAAGAGCUUGACAGCUGGCAAAUGCUAAUUGAGAAUGGGAGAAUUAUGUACUGCCCUGUCGAGCCAGGCUCCAAUAUCCUGCCCACACAGGUGCACGGAUAAUUUCUCUUUUUAUAUUCUUAACAUUAAGACAUUUCACCCCAAGAUUAAGACUGCUGGGUUUUGUCUUCAAUGUCCUCUGAAUAUGUCUGGGAUGGUAAAAAGUUCUGCUCCUCUGUCCUGAGCACAGCCAGGAGAGUUUCACACAGGCCAUGCUGCAGGUCACUGGUGCAACCAUCCCAUCCUCAAAAUGAUCAAAUUAUUUGUGUGGCAGCAACUGCACAGAGAGAUGGGCCCAAUCUGAACUGAACAAAAACUGGAAAGAGCUUAUUGAAUCCUCAGGCUCUCUUGCUUGUGGUAAGGAUACUAAGCAUCUCCAUGUUGGUUAAAAAACACAGAAAUUAAUAUAAUCUCCUUUGACUACAGGUUUGCAUGUGUUUUGUGGAGUGAAUGGCUUGGACAAAAGCACUGGUAAAUCGCCUGAAACAAAACUGCCUGACACUCAAAUAGCUGCUAAUGGUGUUUCUAUAGCAACUCCCCAGGGAAUUUUCCUGUUAUCUGGGUGAAGUUAACUGGAAACAAGUAAAUAUACUUGAGAUGAAGUGGUGUUGGGGAAGACUGAUGAGGCCUUCAGAGCAUGAUCUGAAAAAAAAAAAAAAGAAGCUGAACUAUUUGCAGAACCUUCCUCACUGUAAGAAGCUUGAAGCUCCUGCAGUCCAAGAUUUUGCCUAAAGUGCACUUGUCCUCUGUUGUGCCAGCACAGUUCCAGCAGGCAUUUCUGUGUGGUUUCAUACUCUGUGGGUGAGAUCCAUCUCCCAGCUCAUCCAGGGCUGCCAGGGUGAAGCAGCACCUUGACCACCAUCCAUCAGCAGCACGGGGGCCAGACCCAGCACUGCUGAUCAGAGGAGGAUGAGGAUGGGCCUGGCUAAAGGGAUGCUCUCUAGGGAAAGAGAUCCUUCCUGCAGCUUUCUGUAGCUGUUGUGGCAGCUUUUCUCUGAAUGAAUAACCCAGAUUACGCCAAGUCAGAAGACAACCAUAGACCAAGCUGUUGGCAGGCCAGCAGCUAUUUGAGAGCUGCCAGACCUUUGCUAGAUGUGCUCGCUGUGCCAGAAAUGGAGGGUGACUUUCUGAGAUCUUCUGCUGAGGAAUUGCCGCUUAAAAAUGGGGAAAUACCUGGGGGCAGACACCAAUUAGAGAGCCCAGGUGAGGAGGAUCAGCUCUUGCUUUAUUCCUGAGGACCUUAUUUGAGAUAUGUUUCCAUAAAGAAGAGGAAAGACAGAAUGGAUGCUCUCCCUGUUUCAAUCAAAAUAUCUGUUCUCAGCCUGAAUCAAGGGGCACUGGAAGGAACAGGAACAUGAUAUCUAAUUUCCUAAUUUUCCUGUCAGCUUUCUGGUUUUCAAAAUGAUUGCAGCAGAAAUCCAUAAAAUGAGGAUGAGGGAAGCAACCUUAAUACCAUUGUAAAUCUCCAAAAUGGAUGCAGAAACACAGUACUCAAAUAGGAGUAAAUAAAAGCAAGGAGAGAUUCAUUCCAGUUUUCUCCUCUGUAAACCUACUGGCAGCUUGGAAUUAUUCAGAAAACAACAUUUAACUGAGGAAAAAAGGAACCCUGUAAAAUAGUAAAGAUUGUACCGUAAAGCUAAGCACCCUCCAUAAAUCAUGGCUGGGAACAUUGCUAAGUUAUAGGAACCUGCAGAUGGCUGUCAUUAAAGGGAAAGAGCCUCUCCCAGCUUGGCGGGCCCUGCUGCGUCCUGGUGCACAGCUACAAAUCGAGCUGCCUUCAUGGGGGAGUUGCAAAAGUGGUUUUAAAAUAGGAAUUUCAAGCAGAAGCUGUAUGAGCUGUUCAGCAGGGCUCAGGCUUAUUGCAAAUCCACAGUGGUAAUUUCAGGCCUGAUUUACGGGGGAUUCUAAUAAACCUCCCCUAUUUAAAAUGAUACAAUGAUAGUUUAUCACUAGUGCCUGUCUGAGGCAAGAGGAGAGGGUGGGGGCACAGUGCCUCCGGUUCCAAGCCUGGCAUUUUCCCCACCAUAAACCAGUACAACCCCUGCCUGUCCAAAGACAGGGACCAGGGCAAGCUGCUGGGGGUCCUGUCUCCCAGCUGGUGUUUGGGAGUGAGUCAGGACAGACCAGUGGGCUCCUUCCCUGCUCUGAGCACAUUCCCGUGUGCUCACCUGGGACUGCGCCGUUUUCCCUUUGGGAUGAACUCGUCUGGGGCUUCAACUCAAGAAACAGCAGGAGAGAUGCUCAAAACAAGCCUGCAAGGCUGAAAAUAGCACACACACCGGCUGCUGCUGCUGCUUUCAAGAUAAAGAUGUCACCAGGUAUGAAUUGGGCUUCACCAAGAAAAUUAGCAAGAAAUAGGGAGAACAUCCAAGGGUUCACUUUAAUGAGUAAGGAAAUGAACUCCAGCAGAAGCCAGUCCAUGUCUUGGAGUCAUGGAUGGUGUUGGGAACAGGUGGCUGGGCUCCUGUUGGGCCAUUUGGAGAGUGCCCCCCUGGUUUAGUAUCUCCUGCUGCUCGGUUUUCUCUUCUUGAGCACCCACAUAUUUCUGCCAAAUUGUUUAGUGCAUCUCCCUUAAAAAAAAAUUUAAAAAUUACUUGUCAAGAAGCAGUGCAUGCUUCUGCUUUCUUGGAGCAGACAGAAUCUGUAACAAAUGACUCACAUGCAAUAAUUACAGUCUAUUUCUCCCUAUCUUGCAUUGAUUAUUCAGAUGUGGAGAGAAUAGCUCUCUCUUGAAUUAAAAAAAGCUCUGAAGACCCAAACACUGGAUCGCUGAUUUCAUAUUUUUUCUGGUUUUCUCCCAUUUCUUUGUUUUUAAAGUAAUGUUUACAGACAUGGAAUACUGAAGACAUGAAACAUUUAUAAACAAAACCUCCUGUCAGAGUACUUGUAGUUUAUGUUUGCUUAAAGGACAAUUUUGUGUCACCUCUUUGUAUUUUAAUAGUCAAAAUAAAUUUUGCAUAAUAAUUCAACUCCUCUCUGCUGCCUGUAAUGACUAUCUGCAUUUUUCUGAUGGAUGUUUGUAUUUGUUUCCUAUGAUUUACAUGACCUGACAUCUCAUAUAAUGAGCUUCCCAGCGCAAAUGCCAUUUGUGAUACUCCGUGCAGCACUAAUCUAUCAUUUGAUGACCUUACAAGUGCUGGGGUCAUGGAUUCAAUCAGUAAAAUGUUUCAGGUUGUAAUUAAUUAAUUUCCCCCUCCCCACUCUACAACUGUUCACUUAAGAUUUGAUGAAAGCGAUGUUUUUCUGUAACACUUCUCCAAUACAUAUGGUUUGUUUGUGCAAUCAAUCACGCUAAGUUGGGGAGUUCUUAGCAUUCAUGGCUUUGUCUUGCUCAAAACUUCCAAAUGUUUAUUUUCCAGCAUAAUUUAAUAGUUUAAUUAACCAAAAAACCAGCUACUGUACUUUUUAAAGCACGCUCAGGUUGUGAUUUAAUGGCGUGGUUUUGUCUUUUCUAAAGCUGGGCUGGAUUGCUGCGCACAGGCUGUGGAGCUGGUCGGACUGUGAGUGACACUGCUGAGCUGGCUGUGUCCCAUGUCAGCCUUCCAGGACACUGAGCUGCGCUGUGGCAAACCCUGAUGGAGCUGCUGGCUCUCUGCUUUAGGCUUGUCAUUAAGCAAAAAGGGAAUUUUGUGGUCUUGGUGCUCAGCAUCCUUUGCCUGCGCUCGUGUUGCUUAGGAGCUCACGUGGACAUCAGGAGGGAGGGCUGUGGUGAUGGGAUUUUUCAGGCCACCCUCUGGAGGUGUAUGGCUCUUUUCUAGGAGUCUGUGUGAAACAGCUAGCAAAAGGUAAGCUUAAAUUCCCUAUCCUGGAAUUAGCAUCUUAGAAUCACAGAAUCAUUAAUGUUGGAAAAAACCCGUAACGUCAUUGAGCCCAAUAUUUAACCUAACGCUGUCAGGCCCACCACUAAACCAAGUCCCUAAGCAGUACAUCUGCAGGAUUUUUGACACUUCCAGGGACAGUGGGCAGCCUCCUCCAAUGCCUGACUGCUCUUUCAGUGAAGAACUUUUCCUAACAUCCAAUCUAUACCUCCCUUGGUGUAACCUGAGGCCAUUUCCUCUUGUGCUAUCCCUUGUUACCUGGAAGAACAGACUGGCUCCGACCCAUCUGCAACCUCCUUGCAUGCCAUGCUUUGUAGAGUUUUUCUAAUAACAGGAGCAGGUGUAUUUUUGUGCAUAUGUAGUCAUCUUUUCACCUAAUAAUGAGAAUUUCUAAUGUAUGUGCCCUGGAACAAAGUCCUCCAGGACCCUGUUGGGAGAAUGAGAUUCAAUCUUUGCCAUCAGCACUCGGGGCUAAGGCUCUGAGGCAGCUUGGAAGGAGCAGAAAGCCCUUGGUGACUUUGAAAUUCAAUCCCUGAGAUGUUCUUAUUAUGUUAACAAGUUUUCUUUUAUCCUGUCAAGGUCUUAGGGAACAUUUCUAUUGACCAUUAAGGCAAAGCUAGACAAAAUAUGCUGAAACUGAGAACUGGAUGCUUACAGACAGAAAUCCUGUAACAUUAUGAUUCAAUUUCUUUUCAGAUAAAUAUGAUUGUUUCUGCAAUCCUGCUGCUUGGCUUACUGAAGCCCAGGAAAGGACUUGGAGGGAGAGAAGACACAGGUGUGAAGGAAAACAUGAAAAUUGGAACAAUAUUACAAAUCCACGUGACAAAUUUGGUUUGGAAGAGGCACAGGGCAUCUGGUUUCUGUGUGACACCGUAAGGACUCGGGCUGUCUCACAAGGACACCUGCUGCAGGCUUGUCUUUGGGAGGCACCUGGCUUGGCUUGGCUGCUGAUUGGGAGGAGCAUUGUCCUGUGCUGUCAUUUUCAUGAAAAAAUGACUUUUGAAAAGAAGAAUUAUUUUAGUACUUAUAUGGACAGUGUCUGUGGUCUCAGUAUGGAGAAAAAAUAUUCUGAAAGGACUGAUAAGGUUCCCAAGUGAUUUGAAGAUUGGUAAUGAGGUAAACAAAUAGAGGAUCACCAACAGACAACCUGGGAGCUCACUAAGCCAAGGACAAACAGGUCAUCCCACAAAACAAUUAGGAGGGAUUGGAGGUAUUUUAUUAUGUUGCUCUGUGUGCUACACGUCAAAGACACGAUGGGCUCUGCUGUGGUGUAGCCAGAGGCAGCCCUGAUGCUGAUGCUUUAACCUCACACUGUGUGCUGCUCACCUCAAGGCUGAAAUUGGAUGUUCUUGGGCACAAAGGAGGAGCAUGAAGCUCAGUUCUCCCUCCUUCUCCUCCACCAGCACCGUGCUCUGUCCAUCACAUCUUUUGGGAAUCCCUGUCCUCACAGGUCUCUCCUUGUUUCUGAUUUACUUCAGCAAUUAUCUCUAAGUAGGACUGCAGUGCCACACAACCGAGGUGCUCCUCUGUCUGCUGAAAAGCCACUAAAUCUUGGAAACUGACCAUGAAAUCUAAAACCAGAACAGAGAUGAUGGCUGGAGCAGCACUUCCUCAGGAAAAGAGUUGUGGAAAUGUCAAACACAAUGAGCUGUUUGCCUCUCAGAUGGUGUGUGACAAAGGAGAUUGUACAGCAUGGGGCAAUCCCAGCCUGCCAUCCAGGCCCAGAGGUGGCUGCUGGCUGCAGCACUGCCAGCACUGACAUGGAGAUGCCCUAGGAAGGUCACAGAACCAUGGAACCAUUAAGGUAGGAAAAGACCUCCAAGUUCAUCAAGUCCAGCCUUCGAGCAAAUGCCACCUUUCCCACUAAACCCUACUGUGAAGUGCCACAUCUCAUUUUUGGAUGGGGCUGAUGACUCCACCACUUCCCUAGGGAGCCUCCUGCUGCCUUCUCCCUGCUUCUCUCUCCAGCUGUAAAUUGGGAAUAGAGGUAGUGCCUGCUAAGUGAAGUUGGGCAGUAUUUAUUUUGAAGACCACUGUAUGAUAUCUCACAGAUCACACAAUAAAUGGCAAAACAUUCUGUAUGGAGAAGGGAACCUCUGGCCUAUAAAACAACCCUUUUUGGAAGUGCCAUAGAAACCUGUCAGUGCUCAUCCUUCAAAGGCAGCUGCUGCAUAGGCCAAGGGUUCCCCACUUACAUGCAGAACAAAAACAGUGUCUGUGAGGUAAGAAAGUGUGAAGGGGAAAUAGUCUUCCCCUCCAUAUUUGCACACUGGUCGUUAAAUUGCAUCAUAUAAAUCAGCCCCACCAACUAAAUGUGGCGUGUUCUGAAAUACUGUAUUUGCUUUGGAUCAGUUCACAACCAGAUUGCUUUUAUUUUGUUUCAUAAGAAGUUGAGAUUGGAGAUGUAUGGACAUGUUACUCUUUAUGUUUGCAUCUGCCACCCUGGCAGGAGAAAAAUGGUUGCUUUGGUUUUGCAAACAUUCUCCACUUAUUUUCCUAAAAUGGUUUGGAUGAAAUACUGUUGCUUUAUAUAAUUAGCUGAAAUAAUAAACUGGAGAGGGUUUGGUUUUGUUUCCUUUUGGAAGGAAGCAUACUGCAGUGAGCUCAACAUCCUAUAGUGCAGUUGGCACAACCUGUACUGCCGUGAUGUGAACAUUUUGGAGUGGAUCACAGCCUGUCCCCAGCCCUAGUGAUGGUCCUGCUUGGAGGGACCUGAAUUCCCACUGCUCUGUCUCUGCUGUGACCAUGAGUUGUCCUUUCAGCUCUUGCAAAGGCAAUACUGCUGGGGUGGAUGGGACAUCCCUGCAGAAAAGGAUGUUUCCAGAAAGGCAAAGGGAGAUGCAGAAGAGUACAGCAUGUUCCUACAUGCCAAACAUACCACCUUAGGUUCACUUUCUCCUUUUCUUACCAACAUCCUUAUCCAGACAGAGCAAAAACUGAUUUCAGUGAGUGCCAAAGGACAAACUCCUGAUGCACACAAGCAGAAAGGAGUCAUGUUCCCAAAGUGCAGCUAUUUGUGAGCAGGAGAGCCCUGCACCAGAUCAGACACAGUGGGCCAGAAAUUCCUGGCAUUCCAAUGAGCAAUUCAGUUCUCUCCUUAAUCCUCUCAGCCCUCGAAUGAGCUUGGUGAUUUCAUCACACCCCUCAGGAGGAGGGAUGGGUACACUGGGCACAUUUGGAUGGGUUCCUUGGGGCAUCUUCACACUGCAGCAUCUGCUGAUCCUGGGGAAUAAACAGAAAUUUCUCUGUGUCACACACAAAACUCUUCUGCUUCCAUUGCCCUUGUGUAUUAAAAGAAAGUAAAUAACAAAUGCUGCAAACUACUAAAAUUUAAUUUUGAGUCAGGUUUGAAAAGAUGUGUGGGGUUUUAAAUGUUUUUGAACCUGGUAGUACCAAUUUUUAUCCCUGGCUUCUAUAGCAACCCUGCCUCUUUUCCCACUUCUCAGUAUAUCCUCCCUGUGCAAUAACCUCUGCUCCUUCAUCCUGUAUGAGUUGUGUACACUUGGAUAGUGGAUCAAUCACCAUAACAGCUGUUGUCUUUAAGGUUUAUUAAUGCUUUCCAACUGAAUUCCUGUUUUCCUGCUAAUAACCCUACCAGUGGAACACUUUUCUGGACACACAAUUAUUCAUGUGGCAAACUUGCCACCUGAGUGCUGCUGAGAAAUUAGUAAGCCUUGCAUCCAGCUGGAAGCAAGUCAUUUGUAAUUUCUGCAAUGGGUUUGAAAUUGGGAUUAUUCCACUGCAGGUCUGUCUUUACUCCAAGCAAUUCUGAGGAAGGAAGAGCAGCUGAUGGAUGUGGAGGGGUGAGAGUGGCACAGGCACUGCCCAUAGGGAUUUGUUGUCCCCACUGCUCUCAUUAGCUUGGAUUUGUGGAGUGCAGCUGAAAGAUGAGGGGGGCAAGCAGAAAGUGAGGAUUUGGCCCAGCUGCUGCUGGUAGGAAUGAGGAACAGCUCUGCAGAAAGAGACACGUCGUGGUGCUGGAGCAAUGAAAUUCCCGUGUGGAUUGUGUGGGUCAGGCUCUUUGGCAAUAAUGGGCUGGGCAAAGCCUCAACAUAAAUGCCUCUGCAGCAGCAGUGAGGACUUUGACCAAGGAGAAAGCCAGAUUGGGUUUAUUUAUGCUCCUCUUGUUGAAGCAAAGCUGCAGCUAUCCUUUCAGUGGCUCAGCUAAUAGCUGCUACCUGUCCCCAGCAGUUCUCUCUAGUUUUUGGUAGAUAGGCAAUGCUUAGGACUAGAUACCACUGCUGGGCACAGCUCCAGUUCCCUGUGGGAGAGAUGGAGAUAGUGUGUGAUCUUUUGCAUUGUUAUGCUUUAUCAUUUUAGGUAUAUUAUAUUUGGCAGUCAGAAUAGUUGGACAAGCUGGGAGUCAUCUCUCUGCUUCAAAACAGUGCAGCUUGGCAGUUCUGUUUAUCUUUUACCAAUUCAUUUUAAUGGAAGCUGGAAUUUGAGAAGUUUAAAAAUUAAAAGGAAGAGUGUGAUUACUGUAAAGCAGGGGUUUAACUUGUGGCUUCCUUUUUUUUCCUUACACUUUCUUUAUUGGCCCCAGGCAUGGUAACAGAGCUAUCCAUACCAGCAGUGUCAGUAUUUUUAUGCCGACUGUAAAAAUACCCUGAACAAUUUAUGCUGAAGAAGCCAGCAUCUCUCUCAAAUGCAGCAUUGCUGGGGCCAACAUAUUCCUCUUCCAGACAACUGAAUAUUGAAAAGAAUGCAAAACACAGUGAAAAAGCAGAACCUGUCAGUCAUCCCCUGGCAGCUCUCAGCACUGGAAAGGAUGGAUGAAGAAAUCAAACAUGGCCAUCUAUAUCCCGUCACUUGAAUGCUGAGCUCAGAGGCAACUCCUUGGGAGGUGGGAUACAAACUUUUCUCUGGGAUGGGCUCUAAAUGCAUGGGGCUCUGCAGCUGAAUGGACAUGUGCUGCAGGGCAUAGCAAAGCCAUUGCCAGCACAUGCUUGACAAAGCCCAUGGCAGGAUGCAAAGAGGGGAGUCCUGCAAGCCCUGCCAGGACCCCCCAACAGCAGUGGGACACCUACAGCUGAUGCAGGAGCUGUGUACAAGGUUAUCCUUGGGAAGCCAGGCAUUUCUGCUGCUGCAGUGCAUCCCUGACUGUGGCUUCUGACAGGCUGCGUGUGCUGGACCUGACCCCAUCCUCCAUGAGGAUUCAGGGGGUGGUGGCUUUGGUUCUUCACAAGCAGGGCUGACACUGAGCCAGGUGUGCUGUGACAGCAAGGAGCUGCUGGCAGUGGUUUCCACCUUUCUGCCCCUAACAACACAUCAUGCCAGAGAGUUCUUGCAGAGCUGCAGUGACCCACCCUCUUCUUCAUCCCUCUCCCUCAGUGUGAGCAAUGCAUGACAAAUGCAGAGCCAUGCAAGCAUGGGUACAAUCUUUCUGUUCCACAGUCAGCAGUGCACCCAUCAAUCCACUGGAGUCACUUUAAACUGCUUUUAUUCUAUUUGUUUCAUUAUGCUGUUACGGCUCUCCUCAGACACAGUGCUAAUUAACUCAAUCCCAUCCUAGCAACUCUUGGCUCCCACAUCAUCUCCAGGGUUUCCAGUCCAGGGAAUUGUAACAGAUCAUUUAUCCCAGGGGCUUUAAAUGGAUGCUUUUCCAUGAUGGAGCUGUAGGCAGAGGGACUUAUAAUUGCAGAGGUGCAUUCAAGUCUCUAGCUCAGUAUGCAGCAUCAAAAUUUGUAUAGAUUUUAAAUAAUUCAUAACUGGGCUUUGGUAUAUUUAGUCAUUCAAAUUGGGAAUCUAGAAUUUUAUUCUGCAGAGAGCUGGUGUGUGUCAUUGUCAAAGGUUAGCUCUGCUGCCCGUGUCCAUGCAGAGGAGUUCAGGCAAAUUAAGUCAGAAGAAGUGACUGGCAGCAAAAGAUACAGCAAAAUCUGUGACACAUAAUAAUGCCAUGAGGGCCUCCAGGCAGCUGUGGGCUGGGUGAUGCUGGCACAUUGUCCAGCAGGAUACACACUGCCAAGAUGGUGGGAAACUUAAUUAGCAAGGAGCACUGCCUGGGAUCACAGAUUACACCCCUGUGCAUGGUCGAGGUAGGGUCUUCAGGCUUCAACCCAUCAGCUACCAGCACCUGGGGACUCUCUUCAUCUGUUGCCUCCAGUUCUGUAUGUGGAGUGCAAAACCCUGGAGGCAAGGAGAUGCUCUUUGCUGUGUCCUGUGACUGCAGCACAGGCAGGUGGGUGCUCGUACCCAUUAGCAGACGUGGCAGCAGUGCUGGACUUGGUCCCAGCUGGCAGAGACCUGAGGUUUGCAGACCCCCAGACACACUAGGCAGUGCUGAGUCCUACUGCAAAGGGGUGGUUUAGAAACAGGAACCCAUAACUUAAUUUCAUUUCUUCAUGACCUCUGGUCUGUCCCCCUUUCUUGGGCAAGAAGUCUUUGAGAAGUCUUCUUGAAGUCUUUGAGAAGGGGCUGCAGUACAGAUGACUCAGGAGGGGUCUGAGCGCAGCAUCUCCCAGACAAUGAGAUCUGCUCAGGGUGUCCAAAGUCAUCCUAGCCACAAAGCACAGUGGAGCCUUUUGUCCACAGGACGGGCUAUUUCAGAGAAAUGCUGUUGUUCAGGAGGGGGUUGAUUCUGCAGGGUCCCAACACCAAUUUCCCUUGACAGGAGAGAGCAGGAAGCACUCAGCACCUCUCUCUAGGAUCUCAGACCACACACAGCAUUGAAGCCUUUUUUCUACCUCUUGUUUUUAUGCAUUACAGUCACAUUAUAAAGAAGUCCUGCAGAACAUUCAAUUACUUACUGCACAAUUAUAAUCAUAUUUGUAUAUCUAUAAGUAGGUCACCAGUCUCUUAGGUUAAUCAAUUAUAAUGGCAUUCACACCGGUUUCUUUCAUAAAUCACUGACUUUUAGUGUAUCCACUGAGAUAAUGGAGGAAAACCAUCUAAUUUUGAUCUAAGUAGAAUGAAAUGUGAAUGUGCAUAAUUUGCUCUUACAAAGUGUAUCUAAUGUUCUCUACAUCUGUAUUUAUUUGUGCUGUUUCAUGCUGCAUAUCGUUUAAGUGGCAAAAAAAUACAGAGGCUGCUGCACUUAAAAUUAAAUGACCCAGAAUAAUACAAUUUAUCCACAUUUAUUUUACAUUGUUCAUCAUGAAAGAUAUUUUAAUAACCUAGUUCUGAUGCCUGGUGCACUCAUUACCAAUCACACUGAAAUCUGAGUCCUGACAGCAAGAUUGUUUGGUGUGCCACAGGGAUAUUUUGGGAAGCUGUUUUGCCAUGUAAACUGGGAAGUUAAGUGGAAAGGGUGGGCUUUAGUCAGGCUGGAGACUGAGAAGGCUGUAGGACGUAGCUGGAGGCCACCAAAUAGUGGGCACCUAUUGAGCAACUGAGGCUGUAGCUGCUUUAAUGCCUGCCCAAGCCACAGUUUUCAGACAACUCAGUGAGCAGGACAAAUAAUAACUGAAUGGUUUCUCUUUUCUGCCUGCUUAGCAUGGGUGCCUCAGCACUGCUGCUGGAGAACAUGUGGGAGAACUUUGUGCCCCCCUCAGUGGUGUCCUGGGCAGGCUUUGCUUGGCUGGGUCGAAGGGACUGGGAUGUAUUUUGUGAAGUACAGACCAAGACCUGGACUUCUGCUACCAGAACUGGCUGAUCGCAGUUUGACUGAAGAAACUGCAGAGGAGGGAGAUUUCUGGGGCUUGGGAGCCCUUCAAGGUUCUGGCUGAUGUGCCUUGGGUUAGCUUGGGUUGGUGAAGGAGUGAGCUCAUGGCAACCUACAGCUACCUGCAGAAAUGAUGGAGCCAAACUCUUCUUGGUAAAGGCAAAUGAUGUUACAAGGGGCAAGAGCAGCUUGGGAGACUCAAAUUGGAGGUCAGAAAAACUUCUCUGUGAGAUAGAUGCAUGGUCAUCCAGUGGGAUUGUGGCAUCCACAGCCUGGAAGGUUUUCAUGCUCUGGCUGGACAAAGCCAUGGUAAGCUUAUUUAGUGCUGGUGAUAGCCCUGUUUUGAGGAGGAGGCUGGAUGAGAGGCUCUUCCCAUCAACAUUGCUGUGGUCCCACUCUUCACGAUCCCUGAGAGGGAAUUCAAGAAGGUGACACAAUGGGGUGUGAACCCUUGUCUCCACAGCAAAAACACCUUGAGUUUUGACAUCACCUAAGUGAGAGACAUAACUCUAGAGGCAGAGGGGACAGGGAGGUAGAAGGUCUGGUCAGCAGAGACCAGCCUUGAGCAUGGUGGAAUGCUCAUUGCAAGCAAACUCUGCCUGAGUGAUAAGCUCAGAUAUUUUGCCUGGAUGCAAACCAUUGUUCUCCAUCCUGCCCCUCUUGGAGCAAUGCAAAGCAAACCAGCUUUAGCUCUCUGUCUGCAGGAAUGUCUGCCUAAGCAUCCCUUUGGCUGCCAGCCUGGAAACCGCCAGCGUUGGAGAGGUGGCGAUGCAGGGACUGCAUCCUGAGCAAAACCAGCGUGCAAAUUAAAUGCAGAGAGGGCUGCUGGGACUCACCUUGGGCAGAGUCACUGGCUGCUCUGCAAAUGAGUUAUUGCUUAGGAAAUGGAUUCUGCUUCAGCGCUGUCUGUUUCGCAGCUGUGGAGCAACUUUGUGCAGAUUUCCAAGCGGGACCUGAAAGAGCAGGGAAUGUUUGAGCUCAGCUUUGAGAGAGCAGCUCCCUGGGAUUUGCCCAGCUGGCAGCAGCUCCCUAACCCAGCGCUGCAGCCCCAGGUUUGCCCCGGGCAGGCUGUGCCCUAGGGCUCACUGCCAUGCUGAGAGCUCCACAGAUCCACAGGAUUCCCUGCUAGCUAACCCCUUAAUCCCAAAGCAGCUCAUGAAGGCGAGCUGACAAUGGAGCCUAAUGAAAUUGCCCUUUUUUUUUCUUUUUUUAAACCUCGUAUGCAAUCUCUUACUAAAACGUUCCAUCUUUUCAGAAGAAGCUGCUACUGAGGAAUAAUCAGUGUUUUCAAAUCUCCUUCUGAGGGUUUUUGCGUGUGUUUUGUAAAAGAAAAAAAAAAAAAAAAAAGAAUUUUUAUACUGAAUUAUUUCCUGCUUUCCUUAUGGAGAAAUAGCAGCUUUUAUCCAAGGGAUUUCUGCUGCAUGGAGCUGUUUAGUUUUGACAGAAGGUUGCUUGCUUUUAUUUUAAUCUGAAAUUGUUUAGCAAAAGUGCCCUGGCUCCUGUGACUUGGCCAGCUGGAAGGUCUGGCUCAUUAUUAAUGUAAUUAUUUACUCAUUUGUUGUGGUAGAAGCAGAGCCCUGGGCCCAUCCACGUCAGCCUCAGGCACUGUGGAGGCUCCCGUGCAGAUUUGGUGACCGUGUCUGGGGUGAAUGGGAUGGGGAUGGCUCUGGAGAAGCAUUUAUGAGGAUUUAUGUGUGUCACACUCCUAUUUCAGACUGGAAAUGUGUCAGUACAUCAUAAAUAUUCUGAGUGAUUUACGCUCACCAGUUCGGGUGCCUUAGCCCCAGGAGUAGAUAAAUUGUGGUUUAACGUGUUAUUUACACUUUCAGGAAAUUCAGUGCCUUUGGAAAGCACCGGGUCGAAAGUCCUGGAGGGAAGCUGACUCCUGGUGGGAUGGAUAACCAGCAGGAAAGGUUCUGCCAGAUCCCAGCUCCUACUCUGCACAGGGCCCUGUGGGAAGUGUUGAAAAGCAAGUUCUUAAAUUGUUUUAUAUCUCUAUAGAUGAGUUUAAUCCCUUUCUAUUUCUAAAGCAGUUUGGAAGUCCUACAUGUCUGAAAUGAUAGCAGGUAACACAAUAGAGGGCUUAGCUGAAUUUUAGGUAUGCAGAUGAGCUAAAUUAAUUAACAGUAGUCUCUUUCAAAUGUAUGGCAGAGUAAUACCAGCCUAGUCUAUAGAAAGAUUCUUUGGGACUUAAUAGUGAGCUGGGAGUAAUUGAUUGUGCCAUAACCCAUGGUUAAGCAGAUGAUAUCAGCAAGUCAGUGGGUAGGGUUUGGAUUUGCCAUUUUCCAGCAAUGAUCCUUUGUGUUUUCUCUGUGAAGUCAGCCCACAGUGGUGUCUGUGAGGGUGCCUAUAGCUCCUGAAAUUCCCAUGUGGAUCAUGGGUGUAAUAAUCCACCCUUCACUAAGGAAAACUAUUAUAGCAUAAAGCUUGCAGGCUCAGAGCAGGUACAGCUGAAAGGGAGAAUUGAGUAUUUUGUUAAGAACAGAUAGUUGGCUUAGGUCCUUAUUAGCACCUAUCUAAGCCCUGUUCAAUUAAUGAAACACAAUUUAAAGUAAAAAGGAUUGGUACUAACCAAACCACUGCAAUAUAAGCUCUUCUAAUUAUGCAAUAAGAUAAUGUCCACCAGAUUAAAAUUUUAAUUAGCUUAAUUUAGAAAUAGAAAAAGCAUUAGAUUUCUAGUUCUGGAACACCUAAAAUGACCUCAAGGGGGGAAAGAAAUUGAAAAUCAUUUGAGCAUUGUGUGUGUGCUCACGUCUGUUGUUUUCUGAAAGUCGUCAGCAAUUCCCAGUGGGCUUGGGCUCCUGGCUUUGCUUGCCAGGACCUGUUUGGGGAGCUCAGGAGAGCUUGGGUAGCUCUGGGAGCAGGGGCAGUGCAAAGGAGUGCCCAGCACUCAUUUCUAGCCCCAGCUGCCUGCAGUUCCUCUGGCUCUGCUUUCAGAAGGCAGAAACAUGCUGGCUACAAUAGGGACUUUUGUUCUUUUUUGUUUUCUUUUUCCUCUUUCCUUUUCCCUAUUCAUAGAUUUAAAGGCCAAAACAGACCAUUAAGUCCAACUAAUCUUACAUCCUGCAUGACAAAGGCCAUCCCACCCAUCCCCUAAUUCCUCAAUACCACGGCUGACCAUGACCAUGGGAUUAUAGACCCUUCUGUAAAUGCACUGGGAGCCUCUGUGUGCCCCAGGCACAGAGCAGGACCCCACUGAAAACACCCAGCCCUGAUUUAAAGACUUUAAGUGGCAGAUGAUUUAGCACAUCCCUCAUGAAACCAUUCCAAUGUAUAAUUAACACUUACAGUGAAAUAAGCCAUUGGGGCUGAAGGCACAGGGAGCUGUAACACACAGAGUGCACAGUGGACAGUUGUGUUGGGUUAUGAGGCAAGGAAUCAAAAAAAUUGCUUUUAUCUCUUUUCAGGGAAGAAACAAAGAUAUUUGAACCAUUUGCAUAGCAUAAAAGCUCUCCAGCCCACCUUUUGAAAGGGCUAGAGGUUUGCUAAGGAAGUUUUGAGGAGAUGGAGUAAUAAAGAAAAGAAGGUUUUAUGAUGCAAGGUUGACUGGGAAACUUUUAUUGGAAGGGUUUGGCCAGCUCCUAGUCCCAUGGGGAAAGCAGGAGGAAUUUGACUGUAGUGUGUUUCCCUUUUGGAAGGUCAAAGCCAUUCCAUACAAUUGCAAAGCAGCAUAAGAGAGAAACACUUAUUCCUCUGUCAAGGCUGUCAAAAAUGGAGGAGGGGAGGAAGUCCCAAGCACUGCAUUUCAUCAAAGCCCUGAAGGUAAAAAUGAUCAGCUGGCUUGAAAUUUAUCUUAAUGAGUAAAAUCCAGCCAAUGAAACAGGGUGCAGAUGAAAGUGACAGAUGGAAUCAUUUAAAGUUUGAUUCUUUGCGUGAAAGAAAAUAAUAUUUUUUACAAGUUAUUUUUCUUCUGGUUGUUACAGUGUUCUGCAUAGUGUCACAGCCAGAUUAAUUAUCCAAAGUCUCUCAAAAACUCAGAGUUAGAGGGAGCUCUUGGAAAACUUACAUCACUUGGGACUUAGGUCUAUAAAAGCUCUGUGCAGUAGGAUUCUUGUAGGGAAUCUCCCAAAUUUUGAUACUGAGAGGUGCUGUCCUCCACCCCUUAGUGUGCAAGGCCAGCAUUAUGUGUUAUAUAUCUUUAACAGGGAAAGAUGAGCAGGAAAAUACAUUAUAAUAAUAUUAUCUCAUCAUCUCUAUGGACAGGUAAUUCUUGCAGAGAUACCUAGUGCACAUCUGUGACACACACAGUAGGGGCCCCUGUCCCUGUGAGAGGGCAGGAAACAAAGCACUGACCCCCCUCUCCUCUGCCCCCUUAAUUUCUGGUUAUAUCAAUGAGUCAGCAAAGGUUCAAGACACAGAGGAAGGGCAUCUGCUGGCUUCUCUGAUUUGAGCAGCGUGGGGCUAGAUGCUGUAGCACACAUAGCAAGUGUUUGUGCAGCCCCUCAGCCUGGGGUAUGAAAAACCCACACUGGCAUCAGAUGGGUGAGGGGGCUGUGGUGAGCCUGCUGCUGCUCCCCAGCCAUCCUUCCCAUGGGUUCAGCAUUCCCAAAGCUCUGAGCAGGAGGCUGAGAGCAGGAUGAGCAGCCCAUCUCCUGCCCAAGGCGAGGAGUGAAGGCUGUGGCCAGACAGGACCUGCACCUGCACUCCCUGCCACGUGUCAGCUGGGAACAGAAGGAGGGAUUGCAAGGAAUUUCUUCAGAUGUAUUCCAGCAGCAGAUGAAAAUAGCUGCUACUGUUUUGAUCCAGUGAAGUGGCAGCUCAGGCACACGCAGGACUGGCAGCAUCUCCACCAGGAGGGAUUCCAGGGGCAGCCUGGGGUUGGAGUGAUGGAGCACAGGGCUAGCCCAGGGUGCCCAGGCCAAGGGGUAGAAUUUAGGAUCAGAAGAUAUAAAUUCACACUGCCCCAGUUUUCUCUGAGUUAUUGCAAAGUGUUGUAAUGCUAUGAACCCUGAGCGUUUUUGGGAAACCACGAGAAAUUGCUGCACUCAGUAUCUGUAAUUUACAUCCAAUCCAGCUGGGGAUUUUCUACUGAAUUCUGUUGCGAUGAAAUUUUAAAUGUUUAAUUGUGUUUUUGUUUUCUUUUCCAGAAGUUUCAGUGAAAUAGAACACAAAUAUUCUGUUUCCCUGUGGACUCAUGGCAGCAGUGUGUGUGGGGGGUGGGGCACAGAGGAAAGGGAGCUUUUUCUUUUUCAGGAGUUUUUUUACACAUAACUGGAAUGUGAAACUCCUGCUUUGUCCCUCAUUUUCUGUUUUACAGGGGGAUGCUUGCUGUAGGCCUUUAACAGCUUGGCAGACCUAGAUUUGAAGUAAAAGAAAGAAAAUUUGUCUCCGCAUCUUGAGAUACUGUGAAUUAUUUAUUUGCUAUUCCUGGUAAAUCUGCAGUUGCAAAACCUCACUGCGAAAUGAGCAUUUCUUUGUUUCACUGGACUGUGGGAUCACUCCCUGAAGAUUCAUCAGCCCUGCUGCUGGAAGAAGCUGUCCUCAAAGCUUCUUUUAUUAUUAUUAUUUGGUAAUGCUUGAGAUUAUUUUUGCUUCACCUUCAUUUAUUCUCCUGUUCAUUUUAAAAAUUAGGUAAUUGCAUUAAGUCAUCUGAAAUUUAAGACCUCCUCCUGAGAUUUGUUUUUUGUCCCUGCAUCUGAUCCUCUGUCACACAGGUUAAUUCCACAACACUGUGUUACCCAAAUUCAGCAUCAAUUUCGACAAGCAAAUAUUUAUACAGCAUCCAAGAUGCAGUCUGCACACAGAAUGACACCAAAUUAACUUAAAUUGAUGCUAACUACUCUAGGAUUGAAGAGUGUCCAGAAAAAAAAGGUGGUACCAAUUUAACCAAAUCUAUUUCUAAACCAGUGUUAUUAAACUGGAAUAAUUUCACACUGAAAGGCAAAUUUCACCUUUCAGAUGUCUUGAAUGCCUUUGGACCAAAUCCCACUGCUUUCACUCCACACAGGACUACCUAUUGAGAUAGUGUGAGGUAAUAUUAUGUCUUUUCUCACUGUUCUUUCAGGGCCAUGUGUUCCCUCUAGGUUUUAGGAAGAUUUAACAAAUAUUUGCCUUUUUCUUCAGUGUAAAACCACUGUUGGGGACCACUGUACAUUAUCUUACUCUCUUACCCACCUUAAUCAGGCAAAUGCUGCAGGUUUUGUCCUGAACUAGGUCAGAUACACCAGUUUUGCAUUAUAUAUCUUCAAAGUGGGCACAAAAUGUCCCUUGGACCAUAUGGUCUGCAGCCCUGGGCUUUGUUGGCUCACACUCUUUCUAAUUCCUCCUAAUCUGCUCAUAAGCACCUCCAAAAGGGUUCUUCACACACCUCACCAGUAAUCUCUGUCAAUGCCUGGUUGCUCUUUGGAUCUGAUGCCAGAUGGUAUUAAUAUACCCAUCACUGUAAUUAUCCAGACAAGCAAACAGUGGCAGGAGCAAUCCCAACGUCUCACUUUUCCCACUGAUUCAGAGGCAUACUUGAAAGAGCCCUUUCAUCCCCAUGGACCCUGUUCCCUGGAGUUGUCCCAGGCUGUCCUCAUCAAAAGGGAAUUUGAUGUUUCAGCAGUUUCUCAGCCAGUUUCAUGCUGGGAAAGAAUCAGUGGUGAUGGGGCAGUAUCAUUCAUUCACCCUCCAACUGUUGCCCAGACACUUGGUACAUGGCCAGGUGUCAGUCCCACAUCAGGUCCUCCUUUAAAACCUUUCACAGGACCGAGAUCUAUGUGUGAAAUAGAAAUUCUGCUGAUGCCUUGUGACUUGAAAGCUAGCCUGCCUUUUGUCUGGCUCCAAGAUUUGCUGCAGUGAACAGCCUGGACAGAAGGUUUCUGAUGCCAUGUGUUGGGAAGGAGGCACUCCUGAAAGCUUCCUGCACCCAGCAAAACCUCCUGCCAAGUCCAUCUAAAUGCUAUGUGGCAUUUAGACAAAGUUUAUUUAGCAUCAGCCCACAGCGAAAUGAAACUGUAAGGGAUUAUUUUGCAAUUAUCUUGCAAGUUGGGUCCCUUGAGUAUUGGGAUCUUUGGCUCAAGCUUUUAAAGGCUGCCCAGUUUACCACACACCCAAAGAGCUUUGGGCAAUGUUUGUAUUCAGGGAGGCAAGAUCUAUAAGUAGAGAUAAAUGCAAGAUCAGUUCAAUAGCUGGAAAAAUCAGAGCUCUUUUGAGCACCUCAGCCUUUCCAAGACCUAUCUCCUAUUAUGGCAAGAUGUGACACUUGCAUCGAGUGUAUUUGGUUUUAGGAAUGAGCAGCAGUGAUGCCACCGUGACAAGAAGAAAGACUUUGAUGCCCACAUCACAAAGAAUAUGCAAACUUGUAUUAUUCCUUUGAUUAGCUGCUCUCUGAUAUGUCAAGUCCAUGAAUAAUCAAGCCUCAUUUUCUAAUUAGUUUACUUAUCACCCCACUGCUCCAUGCCUUCACUCAUUUGCAUACCCUAUACCAGAUAAAGGGCCUUACUCUAAGAGGUGCCAGCAGGGCUUCCACCUCUCUCCCACCACAGCAUUUCUUUGCUUCUUUCCCAGAUAUUUCCUUGCUCUUGGCUUUGCUUCUUCUCCCAUGCAAUGACCAUCUCACUGCUCUGUGCUUUUCCACUCAUUUUAAGACGUGUUUCCUCAGGGAGCAGAGUGGUGUCCUCCACACUGUCUGUCUCCUGGUGAUACCUUUUGACUCCACAGUCUGGUUUUACCCAGCCUCAAAGGAGAAGUAAAAUUAUCAAAGUUGCUGGUUUGCACAUCUUAUGGAAAUGGUGGAGGAGAGGUUCUUUUGGGGCAGCUGGGGAGUGUAGGCUGGAGCAUCCACUUCAUCACUCUGGGGAUAAAUGAUGGGAAAAAUGGUUUUGAAUGCCCUGGCCACAACUCUGUUUAGCCAUCAGCUAUUCCAGACAAGAUAGACAAUUCCAUAAAGGAAAACUGCAGCACUUGG